UUUCUGCUCUUUAAUAUUUUCUUCUUUCUGCUUAUUUCAUCUUUUAUUACUCUUUCUUUUCUAGUUUUUUGAGUUAGGAACUUAGAUUAUUGACCAGAGACCUUUGCUUACUUCUAAGGUAGGUAUUUAGUGCUGGAAAUACCUUUUUGGUACUGCAGCUUUAGUCACAGCUUGCAUAUUUUUUACAUGUGUAUCUUCAUUUUCAUUUGGUUCUAUGAAUAAAUUUUUUUUCUUUGACAUUUUCUCUUUGACUCAUGGACUAUUUGUAUGUUGCUUGAUUUCCAUGUUUAGAGAUUUUCCUGUUGGUCUUCAGUUACUGAUUUCUAGUUUGAUUCUAUUAUAGUCAGAGAACACAUUGUAUACUACUUCAGUUAUUUUAAAAUUUUGUAUAGUUUUAUUGCUCAGGACAUGGUCUGUCUUGGUAACAGAAGGGUUGGACUUGAGUCCUGACAUCAUAUCUUGGAGGUGCAUCCUGACCAGAUGCCAGGUACAUGGUCAGAACUUAGUUGAGGAGACAGAUCCUAGGUGAGGAUGAAUCAGAUGUAAAGCCAGAGUAGACGGUGAAGCACCACAGAGGAUUUUCCUAUCAGCCAGUGAUUUAAAAGAGUAUGUUAAAGCAAGAAAACAGACUUACAUAGUAGAGUUGUGUUGUCAUAAUUCAGAACUAGAUGGUUGCACUAGAGAAAGGCAGAAUAAGAAGAGACAAACUUAGGUCAAAAAGGCAAAAGGGGAAGAAUUAGCAGAGUGUUUGGGGUGGGGGUAAUGAGAAGUCUAAGCAAGUUUCUGAAGAGGGAAUGGAGUCAAAGAUUAUUCAAAGACAGUUAAGUGGAAGUGACACACUCAAAUGAAUGACUAGCAAGUAGCUGGGAACAUAAGGCAGGCUUUCUGAUUAUACAUGCAUUACUUUUUCCACACUGGUUUUCCAAAUAUAUGAAAAAUUAACAAACAAGUUAUGGAGAUUCCUGAAAAAGAAAAAAAUACUGUCACAAAAUUUAGAAGAAAUGUAACCAAAUGUAACAAGGCUUCUGUUUGGUUGCAACAAUUCUAUGCCCUCCUUUGAUAAAUAAAGCACUGCUCAAUGCUGUAAGCAAAUAAACCUGAAAUCUUGGUAACUUGUAACAAUUCUUUCUUUUUUGUCCAUGUAAAGACCAAUCAAGGGUGGUGGCAGUAGAGGCUGGCCUCUGCUUCAUGAAGUUAUUCAGGAAUCCAGAUGGAGUGUGUCUCAUUUUCAAUCCAUGGCUUCCAAGGCAUGGAACUGCUGCUGGUGAAUCAGGGGAAAGAAAGUACAUGAUUUCAUAGAUGGUAUCUAUGAGCCAAGCUUGGAAGUUGCAUUAUUUCAUCCACAUUUUACUGCUUAGACAUUAGUCAGAUCAUAAAUUCAAAACUAAAGGAGACUGGGAAACAAACCUUGGUUUUGUGACUAGAAGAAAAGUGAAAUAAUUUGGUGAACAGCCACUUACUAUGUGCCACAUGUCAUUUAUCCACUAAAACCUCUUUAUAUAUUGUACCUAUAUUACCACUGGUCAUCUCAUCAGCAAUUAUUCCCAUAUUCCUUGAUUUUGUAAGUUGUUUUGGCAAAAGACUUUGUUGACACUCCUAAAGGUUAUGGAUGGGAUUAUUAUUCCACUGCUACAGCUUAGAGUUUUAAAGGAAGCCAUUGGAUGUGUUGGCAACAGUAAGUGAUGUCCAACUCAUACUCAGUAGGGCAAGUUCUCAUUUAGGGAUACAAGAGCUUCCUUAGUCACAUGUAUACUUUCCUUUGGUGAUAACAUGUCCAUGUAGAGCAAUGAGAAAGGAUGCUGAAAGGCUUCUUCAGUGAAAAUGAUUUGAAACUGUUGAAUAAGAGCAUUGUUUCACAAAAUGUUCUUGUAGAACACAGUUCUUGGAUAUACUCCAAAGUGGGGAGUAAAUGUUCUUUACCCAUAAAGAUUUAGAAAAUGGUGAAACUCAAAUAUGUCUCUUGACAUAUGUUCACAUUGCAUAUGAACAUAGUAAGGAUUCUAAAUAAUCCUGCCAUAAAGAAAUAUUUGGUUUUAAUUUAGCUUUCUUAACACUAGUCAUAGAUCACUGUGUUUUAGUAUCAUAUGCUAUUGUGAUACAUUUGUGGGCAAAUCCUAUUUGAUUCACACUGCAGUCAAAUAUCCUAGUUUUGAAUAUCACUUUCUAUGCAGAAAGAUUUUUUUUUGUAUUUAUUAGUAAGAAUGAACUUGCACUUUUCAUAUUAGUAAUAUUGUUGUGUAGCAUUUUAAAAACAGGUAGAAUAAAAUAGAUUUAGCCAUGCUUUCCCUUUUUAUCCUCCUUUCUUCAUUCAUAAGUAUCUUUAAUGCCAGUAGGGUAAACAUUGAUUUGUAGUUUUCCCCUUCUUCUCCCUUAAAAAUAUUUGUAUUAUGUAGACGUUAUUUUCUUCUUAGGCUGCCACCAUUAUUUUAGGAACUUUGGAAGUCUUUUUUUCUACUAUCAAUAAUUUUUUUAUUUUCUGUAGAAAUCUUUUUCACCUGGGGUUUACUUCUCUUUGGGUAAAUAAUCCUGAGUCCUUACCUCUAUCUCUAGUUCUUAAAUUUUCUUUUUCUUUUUCUUUUGUAUAUUCUGAAGCUGAACCAGAGACCAAGUCUGAAAGAGUGCUUGAGGUUGAGAUCAGAAGCAUUUCUAAUGGUGUUCCUCUUGCCUGCAUACGCUCAAGAAGUAGAAAUUUGAUCCGUCCAAAACUGAUGAAAAGUGAAACUGGACCUCUUCUUCCAUUUGCUUAUCUUGAAUCCCUUCCCACCAAGAAAACUGACUUGAUGGACAGGAAAACCGUUUCUCACCUCAGAGCACUCCUGACACCAAAUGUAUGCGUUUUCCAUAAAAACUCCAGUUCUCUGUGGACCCCAAGAAAAGAUGACUUUCAUGUGAGGUGACUGCAACACUUCAGAGAAACCCAGAAAGAAGCUGGAAAUGUGGGUUUGGGGCUCAGGAAGAGACAUGGAUUUGGGAAUCGGCUAUAGAAAUGUGAGGAUAAAACUAUGGGAAUUGGGUGAAUCAUUAAGAGAAUGUGAGAAAGUGAGCUGAAGGGACAGCUGAUGAGAGGACCUUGGGCAAUGUCCACAUGGAAGGGCCCAGUGGAACACUCACAAUUCCUCGGGGAAUUUCUAGUGAUUUAGUCCAUGAAUCACUGACUCAAUUAUACCUGAUAUUAUAGAGAAUUAAAUUUUUUUUUAAUUUCAGAAAAAGAUUAAGAUUAAAAAAAUCAUUAGAGAUGUAUUUAAUUAAUUAAUUUUUGCUUUUUAGAGCCACACCCAUGGCAUAUGAAGUUCCAAGGCUAGAGAUCAACUCUGAGCUGCAGCUGCCAGCCUACACCACAGCCAUAGCAACUCGGGACCGAGCCACAUCUCAAGUCAUGGCAACAUUUGGUCCUUAACCCACUAAGUGAGGUCAGGGUUUGAACUUAUGUCCUUAUGAUACUAGCAGGAUUUGUUUCCACUCUAGGAACUCCCUAGAGAUGUAUUUGUAACAAAUAAACUUUUACAUUUAUAGAAUUAUUAGAAGCACCUUUAUUUACAAAAUCACAUCAUGACCACUGGCAUGGGGGGGUUGCAAUUUGAAAAUUGCCAAGCCAGUGACAAAAAUUCAUUUACUGAAUAUAAUAUUUCAUUGGUUUGUUCAUGACUUUAUUUUUGUCUUUUGUCUUCGUGGCAUAUGGAGGUUCCCAGGCUAGGAGACAAAUCGGAGC